rnacentral:rRNA from 1 species
GAGGGAAAGGUGAAAAGCACCCCGGAAGGGGAGUGAAAUAGAACCUGAAACCGUGUGCUUACAAGUAGUCAGAGCCCGUUAAUGGGUGAUGGCGUGCCUUUUGUAGAAUGAACCGGCGAGUUACGAUUUGAUGCAAGGUUAAGCAGUAAAUGUGGAGCCGUAGCGAAAGCGAGUCUGAAUAGGGCGUUUAGUAUUUGGUCGUAGACCCGAAACCAGGUGAUCUACCCUUGGUCAGGUUGAAGUUCAGGUAACACUGAAUGGAGGACCGAACCGACUUACGUUGAAAAGUGAGCGGAUGAACUGAGGGUAGCGGAGAAAUUCCAAUCGAACCUGGAGAUAGCUGGUUCUCUCCGAAAUAGCUUUAGGGCUAGCCUCAAGUGAUGAUUAUUGGAGGUAGAGCACUGUUUGGACGAGGGGCCCCUCUCGGGUUACCGAAUUCAGACAAACUCCGAAUGCCAAUUAAUUUAACUUGGGAGUCAGAACAUGGGUGAUAAGGUCCGUGUUCGAAAGGGAAACAGCCCAGACCACCAGCUAAGGUCCCAAAAUAUAUGUUAAGUGGAAAAGGAUGUGGCGUUGCCCAGACAACUAGGAUGUUGG